rnacentral:rRNA from 1 species
CCUACGGGGGGCAGCAGUGAGGAAUAUUGGUCAAUGGGCGCGAUCCUGAACCAGCCAAGUCGCGUGAGGGAAGACGGUCCUAUGGAUUGUAAACCUCUUUUGUCGGGGAACAAAAGACGCCACGCGUGGCGGUCCGAGUGUACCCGAAGAAAAAGCAUCGGCUAACUCCGUGCCAGCAGCCGCGGUAAUACGGAGGAUGCGAGCGUUAUCCGGAUUUAUUGGGUUUAAAGGGUGCGCAGGCGGAAUGUCAAGUCAGCUGUGAAAGUUAGAGGCUCAACC